GGUUUUAUUUUUUUAAGUCCCCCGGCAUUUCAGGCCUUAGUUUUCCUAUUUUCAUCAAAAAAAAAAAAAAAAAAAAAAAGAACAAGCCGAAAUUUUUCUUGUUUAUCCGGACAGAUUCUAUCUCCUAUAUUGCUUUCAGACGGGUGUUGUUCUGUAAGAAGAGAUACCAUAGCAGCACAAAAACAGUCAUUUAAUAUUGUAGAGAUUCAGUGGAAUGUUUUAUAUAUAUAAUAUAUAAAUUAUAUAUAUGUAUAUAUAUUAUAUAUUAAAUAUAUAUAUGUACAUAUAUAUAUUUUAAAGUAUCUAGAUGAGAUCGACUUCAGGGGUAAGAAAAAAGCAAUUUGUACUUUUUUUUGUGCAUUAUUGUCUUUUUUUUUUCAUUUUUAAUAUUUCAUAUAGCUGUUACAGCUUAUCUUAUCGACCAUCUUGUAAAACUUCCACGGACAAAAUAGCAAAAAAAAAAAAAAUGACUGUACAAUUCUUCCUGUAUAAAAUACCUGUAAAAAAUAAAAAAAAUUACGAUAUUUUGUGUGUACAGUGGCGUAAUAUAGGAGGUUUUGUACAGUGAAAAAACCAAAUAAAAGUUGUGGAUACUGCAAUUGAAUUAUGGGUGUUGGCCCUGUUUCUUAUUAUUUUGUGUUUUUUUGAUUUUCUUUAUACUAAAGAAGAGGAAGCUGCCUAACCUCAAUUACAGCUGAAACGCUUGAAGCUCCCUCAUUAACCCAAUUCUGCAAUAUGUUUUGAACUGACUUUAUUUUUUUCAUGUGAAUUCCGGUUGCCGCGUAAACAGAUCUUCAUCUUGAUGCUAACUUUGAAAAAUUCCAGAAAUUAAAGAAUUACUUUCUCAGCAUCUGUUCAGUAGUUUCGCCUUUAACAAAAAUGUUUUUUUUAAUUUAAAAAUUGUCGGAAAGAACUAGGAAAAAAAGAUGAUUAAGUUAAAAACGGAUUAAAGGUAAGAAACUAUCCGAAAAUAUUUCUAAAAGUUUCAUAGCAACUUUCAUAAAAUAAUAUACCAGUCAAAAGACAAGUUUUAAUUUCGCUAUAAAAAUUUUUCUCGAGAGUUUAAAAAAUGAAACUUUUAAAAAAUUAAACUGUUGCUCAUGUCUACAAAAAGCUACCAUGUUUUCGUAUGAUACAUCUUUCGAUAUAUACGAUAAGCAUUUUUUUUUUUUUAAUCACAAAAAUUGACAAAAUUAUUAAAUUUUCUUCAAGUUAAAAUUAAAACUUUUCAUGGACAUAAGCCAGAUUUUAAGUAUCGAUUGCUGAAAGUAACUUUAAUUUCAAAUGUAAACAAAAUAGAGAAUAAAAAUGUAAG
rnacentral:lncRNA from 1 species